UUGCCUUAGCUGUAUUUGCACAUCCCCUCCCCUAUGCUCAUUAUCUCACAUGCUCUCAUUUUCCUAAUCUCUUAAAUCACUUUGGAUAAUUUCUGUUCUGUUCAUGUUUGUAUAAUGCAUUGCAUAAUUUAAUCUGUGAACCUCCAAAUGAUACCAAAUUUAUUCAACUAGCAGCUGCCACACAGAUCAAGGUUCUUCCGAGACAGAGAAAGCAGGAAGAAAAUCUUUCCCCAUAGGAAUCAUUACCGUUUCUCUAAGAGAAGACAUUUGCAAACAACAGGAAGAAGUCCAGGAUCCAGUUUCUGCUUAGUAAAUAAAAGGAAUUAAGUAAAUUUCUACAUGCUUCAGAGCUUCUAUACCAUGAACACAUUCUGCCAUAAGUAUUUCUGAAUCUAAAGAACAGUCCUCAUCAACUGAAUCCAAGCAACUGCCAUCUAGUUCACCCUAGGGACAAUUUUGCAAACCCUAUAAACAAGAGUACUCUGACAAACCUCGUAGUUUGAUUUAACAAAAACCCUGCUGCAACCAGAAGAGUCAAAUCUUCGAACAACAUAUAGAAAUGUAAAAAGGUGAAGGUGCAACCAGAAAAGCCCAGCUGAACCAAGGGCGGUAAUCCGAUGCACUGAAAUAAACACUGGGGUGCUUCCCCUCAUGAAGGAGCACCCA